UCAAACAUGAGAGAGAGGAAGAAAGGACACCAAGGGUAAGAAUUGACAUCAACAUUUGUCAUUGAGAGGAUUUUGCUAGAAUUGUAGACAUUUGAAGAGAAUUUGGGAGUUUCACCUCCAACCUUUGUGAAUUCAAGUCUCUAGGGUUCGCACCUCAAGGAAGCUGAAUAGCCUGCUUACAGCCCUGUUAUCUGUGGCCAAGCACCGGACCAAAGCUAGAGGCGCUGGCCCAAGCUCAUGUUUUGUCAAGCUAGCCAUUGUGCCUCAUAUCGAGGUUCCGCACGAGUUAAGGCUUCUUGGGUGGUACUAUCAACCCUUUUGCUAAGUGUAAUGAAUGUCUAAGACUUUUGAUUGUACAGUUUUCAUGAUGGGAUUAUGUCCCUAUCUUGUAUUUGCAUUUUUGUUAUAAGUGGUAUAUGAAUAUGGCUAUGUGCAUGAAAGUUUAUUUCCAUUCAGGUCUUCACAGCUCAUUGGACGAUGUAGGUUAUUAUUGAUUGGUUUCCGCCAGCCCCUUUACAUUGUAUUAUUGUCAGUAUUGUUAAACAGGCCUUCGGUAAUCACGGAUUACUGGCCGGUUACGACACUAAACCUAUAGGGGUGGGUUUGGGUCGUGACAAACAUCCUUCUUUGCUAGUAAUCUCUCAAGUAUAGAAAAAUAGUUGGUGUAUUGGUGUAUAAAAGAGUAGAUGAGAGGAACUAUUUAUAGACCACUAGGACUUUACAAAAUACACCAAAAAAAUAAUAAUGACCAUGAUCCUAGAGAAAAAAAGAGUCUCCAAAAAAUUAACUCACCACCAAGUCCAUGAACCUAAUUAAUCUCCAUUCAUGAACAAGACAAAAGGUCAACAAAAUAAUGAAUCUCCAUUUAUGAACAAGACGGGAUUCAUGAACAAGACAAAAUAAGAUUCAUGAACAAAAUAUAUAAAUAAAUAAAUAAAAGAUAUUAAAAUGGUCCAACAAACUCUUUGUAUUG